rnacentral:misc_RNA from 1 species
CAGUGAACCAGCGAUGGCGGUGAAGGGCCAAACAGCAAGAAUCCCCUGUCAUACCCCACGUUCUUCCCCCACGGCUCAAGUCCAGCUCACUCUUUGGUAUAAGGAUGGCAUUGGCAGGCCUAUUCACAGUUACGACUCGCGAAGUAGUCCCCCUCGGUCCUGGUCAGAUGAGCGGUUGAUAGGGUUUCGCGCUACCUACAUUCCUGACGGUGAUGAAGACUAUCCUGAGAUACCUUACCUGAAACUGGAGGAGGUUACGACCGAGGAUGCUGGCGUCUACACAUGCAGAGUAGACUACAAGAAAGCCCAGACGCAGAGAGCAGAGGCCAAACUUAUCGUUAUAACUCCUCCCGGGACACCCACCAUCCUGAGAGAAGACGGGACUCAGGUGCAGGACACUAUUGGACCUUAUAAUGAGGGUACCAACGCCAGCAUCACCUGUCAGGUAGUCGGAGGCCACCCUCCGCCAAACGUCAACUGGUGGCACAGAGAGAAACUGCUUGACGGUGAGAUUGACAGCAGGGUCGACUCUGUGUACCGGAACGUCUUACAGGUCGGCCCGAUCACCAGGAAAGACCUUGAUGCCUUCUACGUGUGCCAGACCGUCAACUCUGAUCUGGUCACACCCAUCAGUAGUGGAGUUACCCUCGACGUUAACUUGCCGCCUCUGUCGGUGGAGGUACUAGGGUCGGGUCAGGCUCUGGUAGCUGGGGAGGAGUACGAGGUUACCUGCCAGAGUACAGGUGCUCGACCCCCAGCCACUAUUACCUGGUGGCUGGACGGUGAGCAGCUCAUCAACGAGUCUUCCCGCAUCGAGAACCAGGGAAACGCUACCUUCAGCACCUUAACUCUGGUCCCCGAGAAAGACUAUGGUGGCAAAAUCUUAAAAUGCUUGGCUCAGUCACCAGUCCUUGACCACCACCCCCUCGACGAUACCUGGGAGCUGGAUGUACACUACGUUCCCGAGGUGAAUUUGGAGCUGUUGGAGGAGAUUGAGCCAAACGGUAUGACGGAGGGAGAGAACGUGACGAUGAUCUGCAACCUGAAGGCCAAUCCUGUCGUUAAGAAGGUCAGCUGGUAUCACAAGGGCAAUCUGGUGCGGCAGAAUGCGACAGCAGGAGUCAUAGUGAAAGACAAGAAGUUGAAACUGAGGAACAUCCAACGUCAACAGGCUGGUCAUUACAGCUGCGUCGCUACUAACAUCAUCGGGACAGGCAAUAGUGAACCUGUCGUCCUCAAAGUGAACUACGUGCCGGUGUGCUCAGAUACUACCGACCGCGUCCUGGGAGCUGCCAAGGACGACGAGGUGCAGUUGAACUGUCGUGUCAACGCCUCACCCAGCCAGGUCACCUUCAGCUGGUACUUCAGAACACCAGACAAUCUGAUCCCCAUAGAUAAAGAGAAGUUUACUGUAAAGGAUAGUACCUCGCUGCUCACCUACCAAAUCAGAAAAGAGAGUGACUACGGACAGGUGCUCUGUUUCGCUGCCAACGAGAUCGGGGAACAAUAUGAUCCCUGUACCUUUGAGGUCAAUCCUGCAGGAAAACCAGACGCUAUUGACAACUGUACACUCACCAAUCAGACCACAGACACGUUGUUUGUGUCUUGUCUGCCUGGCUUCGACGGUGGUCUCGAGCAGCAGUUUGUGGCCGAGGUCUUCGAAUUUGAUGGAACUACCCGCCACAUGUUAUUCAAUAUCACCGAGAAGGUGGAGCCUACUUUUACGAUAGAAGCGCUUCAUCCAGGAACUUCUUAUCUCCUGGGCAUAUACGCGGAGAACAUCAAAGGGAAGAGCGAGCAGCGAGUCCUGCACGGGUUCACGCUACCCCCAAAACCUGAAAUUGGCCCCACUACGCCCUCUACACAUAUCUUCCCCAUCACUCCUAUCCUGGGAGGUCUGAUCUGCGUGGUCGGAUUUCUGGUGCUGGUGGCGAUCGUGGUGGUGGUGGUGAUGAAGCUGAGGGGGAACUCACGUAGAGCCAAGGAGCGCCACGACCCAGCAUCAGGCAUCAAGGUACCCCACACUCCUCUACACCACAGCAAGGAUGGCAGCGAUGGUCCCGAUGUGAUCCUCUGUCGCACUGCCGACCCUGCCUACGAGGAUGUCGACGGCAUCCCUCAGAAGCUGAAACACGCCAAUAUUUACGAGACGGUCCCCUACGACAACAAUGACAAGAACACCAAGAACUCAGAGAAUUCCGCCAAGGACGAAGUCGAAUACGCUGAAAUCACCUUCAACAACGGCAAGAACAAACAGAAGGGCCACAAGAAGCAGGGGGCUAGCGGGGCCAAUGGUACAUUACGCUCUUCUGAAGACUCCACCAUCUACGCGACCAUCGAUCACACCCGCACAGCACAGCAACAACAGGAACAUCUGCUUAAACAACAAAGGUCACAGCAACUCCAGGGAACGAAGACAGGGAAGCAGACUAGCGGGGACUUAGACUCUGCUGCUCAAAGGGAACCCGAUGAAAUCCCCCUGAUGGACGGAGCCUUAGAGAGCAGCGUCUGAAAGGGAUGUAACCUGAUGGUAAAGACCAUGAGAGAAAUACACCUCUGACAGUUUCUUGUCUGAGGAGUGACUGUCAGUGGGAGCUAUGAGACUCCCCUCUAACUUGCUGACACAUACGCACACGCGCGCGCCAACACACACACACACACACACACACACACACAUACACACACACACACACAGACACACACACAGACACACACACACACACACACACAAGUAUUAUACGAAUUGAAUAAAAAAUUACACCAUUCAUGCAAAGAAGUUGAAGUAUCCCUCAUUGUGGAAACCCUCACAUUGUUAUUAUCGCAUGUUCCUUAUACAUUAUAAUCUUCCCAUAGUGAGAAAAAGUUUAAAUCAAGAAAGAGAUUACCUACACUUGUCUUAUUUACAAUCGUCGGAUGUAAACCUCAUCUACGAUUAUAUUCCUUGAAGUUGUAUCUAGUCACGCAAUGUUUUUUUUUUGCAAGUAUUUAUAAAAGGCGCCAUCACUCUUUUAUUUUACUUCGCUUACUUCGCCAUAGUAUUUUUGUUUUAGUAAGAGCUUAGACACUAAGGUGAAAUUCUUUUAAUUAGUGGACUCGUGAGCACAAUGAUUGAGGAGUUAUGGAAAUUACUUAAAAUAAUGAUAAUUGAUGUUUCAUUCACAGGAUUUUUUAUAUGAAUCUGGUAGACGUUGUCUGAGUGAUCGUGGGGGUAAUUUCGUUUGACAAGUACAUAGUUGGAAUGUAUGUAAGUUUUUGUAUCUGUGUGUGUGUGUGUGUGUCUACUGUAUAUCUCUGUGUGCGUUUUGUACCUCCCUAUAUCUGUGUAUGUACAGUAUAUGUAUGCAUACGUAAAUAUAUGCAUGUAUGUAUGAAUACCUUAGCAUACAUAUUCUAAACACCAUCUAUAUCUAUAUUCAUAUGUAUACAUGUAUUACCCUCAAACGAAUUAAUAUCUUCCUUGUGUCACUCAGAUUACGUCACACUGCAACACACACAGCAAUAUAAACAUUUAUAAAUAAAACAAGUCUGUAAAUAUUAAACACUCAUCAUAAUCGUCGUCUCUGCCCCCCCCCCCCAUUGACAGGACAUGGCAGAGACAACCAACAAUGAUAAUAAAUCUGGCGAAAGUUAUUUAAUCUUCUAUGUAUCAUUUUUUUUCUACAUUGGAAAAUACUGAGCCUGAUGAGAGACUAACGUUAAGAGAUGCAUUUAACUGUUAGAAGGUAAUCAAAUAUAGUUCUAAGUAUUUACUGUAAAGUCUUCUACUCUGUGGGAGGAACUAUGUUAAUAAAGAAACCACGAACGUA